UACGUAGGGGGCAAGCGUUAUCCGGAUUUACUGGGUGUAAAGGGAGCGUAGGCGGCAGAGCAAGUCAGAAGUGAAAACCCAAAGCUCAACUUUGGGACUGCUUUUGAAACUGUUUUGCUAGAGUAUCGGAGAGGUAAGUGGAAUUCCUAGUGUAGCGGUGAAAUGCGUAGAUAUUAGGAGGAACACCAGUGGCGAAGGCGACUUACUGGACGAAAACUGACGCUGAGGCUCGAAAGCGUGGGGAGCAAACAGG
rnacentral:rRNA from 1 species